AGAAAAUAGUUCAGCACUAAGUCACAUUGUUGUUAUGACAAUUGUGAAAUGCAGUGUAUGGAAUAUCUAUAUUCUAGUAUGAGAAAUUAAUGAUUUAAGUCCUUCUUAAAUGAGGCCAUUUAUCCAUAGAGGGUGCCAGGCCCGUAUAACAUUAAUGAUUACUAGAAGAUAUUUCCCAAGAGUCGUGUUGCUUGAUAGUGCAGCACUAAGUUGGUGGUAAACUCCAUCUAAAACUAAAUAUAACCAUGAGACCGAUAGCAAACAAGUACCGUGAGGGAAAGUUGAAAAGAACUCUGAAUAGAGAGUUAAAUAGUACGUGAAACUGCUUAGAGAUUAAACCCGAAGAACUUGAAUAUCCAAUAUAGAGAAUUCAUCAUUAUGACAAUUAUUAAAUAAUAAUUGUAAUAGUGUGCAAUUUCUUUAUAUAAUUGGACAUUGUAAUCUAUUAAUAUGUAAUUUAUCAUAAAAUCAUAGGCAUUUGUUUAUUUUUAAUUAAAAUGUUUCGGCACUUAAUAUGAAAAUAAUUGCUCUUGAUGUGAUAAAGUAUUGAUAGAUAUAUAUGUAUAGUGCUUAAAUUCAUUAUGAAUUUAUUUUUAUUUAAUUAAAAAUGCACUUUAUACGAUUUACAAUGCGAAAGAUUCAGGAUACCUUCGGGACCCGUCUUGAAACACGGACCAAGGAGUCUAACAUAUGUGCAAGUUUUUGGAAAUAAUUAAUUUAAUAUCCAAAAGCAUAAUAAACAUAACUUUUAUAAUGGGAUUAAUUUAUAAUAUAUAUAUUAUUAUUAAUUCAAUCCCGGGGCGUUCUUUAUAGUUAUGUAAUUAUAAAUAUUUUAUAUGAAUUUUUACCUCUAACUGGAGCGUACCCUGAGCAUAUAUGCUGUGACCCGAAAGAUGGUGAACUAUACUUGAUCAGGUUGAAGUCAGGGGAAACCCUGAUGGAAGACCGAAACAGUUCUGACGUGCAAAUCGAUUGUCAGAAUUGAGUAUAGGGGCGAAAGACCAAUCGAACUAUCUAGUAGC
rnacentral:rRNA from 1 species